AGGUCCCCCAAGGACCCACGUCCAGGAGCCAACAGCCUCUCUGUGCAAACCAGACAACCCUGCAGGAACUGUGCUUGAAGAAACCGUGGAAACUGCCCCCAACCCUCCCGUCUCUAUUUCUUUCUCUGUUUUAUUAUCUCAUUCUUGGCUGUGAGGUAAACAGGAGAAAAUGAGAAGGUGGUUCUGGAGGACCCGACCGAAUUUGCUUUCGUGACAGGGUCAAGCGCCCUUUCCUCGCCGGCCGCAGCCCUCACCAAAGGGGAUUUGGGGGCCUCCGGACAGGGGUCCUGAAGGUUUUGAAUUGUUCAAUCUCUGGGGGUACAGGAACCCCUGCAGGAGGUUUCAAAGGCAAGAGUUUCGCAGAGAGAAAAAAACCAUGAACUUUGCAGGUUGGUGGCGGAAUCUGGUGAUUUAAGAAAACGUGUUUAAGCCUCGGCCGGGCCGCGCCUGGGCUGUCUGCGGUGCUCUUCCGGAAUUCUCUACAAUAUCUGGAAGUGACCAAGAAAAUUCCAGAACCCGGAGGCUGCGCCGUGGAGAUAAACAUGGGCACCUGGGUAUGUUUGUUUUUAUUGUUAGGACCUAUUUUAUCACAAGCAAAAAAAA
rnacentral:lncRNA from 1 species